rnacentral:lncRNA from 1 species
CUCAUUCCUAGUGUAAGGAUAUUUAAUAAUAUUUUCCCAAGUAUGAUCAAGAAUAGCAGAUAGUUAACAUCUAGGGGCUGGUUUGUUUGACGUAACUGGUACUGAAAAGAGCAGUUCUCUGAAGAGAGAGCAGUCAUAUUUUUAGUUAAAUUUCAAGAAGACCUGCUGAAAUACACAUGAUAAAACACUGCUUCAUUUUCUGUCCCUGCAAAAAAAGUGAAAAGAAAACCUUAAUGUUACCUAUUUUGAAACUUUACAAAGCAAGCACCACUAUUCUUAAAAGCCUAAUUCAAUCAUUUCCCCAAAUAAAUAUAUGAAUAAGAAUUAUAUGUCACAUAAUACUUAAUAGAAUACAGAACAAAAUUAAUGUGUAUACUCUGGUCAUUUUUUUGAGACCCAGAUGGUCCAGAACUCAGAGAUUUUUAAACCAAAAUGUUAUAUAUAAAUUACUAACUUCUAUAUAUAAGUACAGGUUUUAAUAACUUUUAGAUAGAGAAAUGGUUUUAUCUACCAGGGCCAAAACUCAUGCCUAAAAUAGAAGCUUGAUAGUAAUAUGCAAAACAACCACAUAGAGCUUUUAACCCCACCUCACUCUGACUCCAGACAGCAUGACCCCAGUCCCUUUUGUCAGUGAAGUUUAGAAGCGAUGCUUAUGGGGCCCCUUAACACAGUUUUCAAAGCUUUUUAGCUGCAGGAUCCUUCAGAUUAAGUCUUUUCCUGAAGCUCUGAAAACAGGUGGUUUCAGCUAAAAAUAAUGAGAACAUAGGUAAAGGAAAGAAAGAAAAGUGUUUAUCUUCUGGAUAUGAUCUUUCAGGAUAGGAGGAAGACUUAGUUUUCAUACUUUUCACUCUACCUUCAUUUGUUAAAUUUUAAGCCUUGUGAAUUUGGUACAUGUUAAAAAAAUAAUGUCAUGAUAAAUUUUCACAGUAUGUUAAGUGAAAUGCAGGUUACAAAAUUAUGCAGCAACAUGUCAUGUAAGAAAUACAUGCAUAGGAAAAGGCUAAAAAGGUGGAGGCACCUGGAAGAUGACAAAAGUAGGGAGGAGGAGGACCUGGAGGAGGACGCUUGUGUCUCCUAGGGGAUGAGGAAGGUCCACAGAGGAGAAAGAGAAUCAGCUACAGCCACCAAGGCAGGAACCAAGAACCUCUUCAGAAGAUGACUGGAAUAAAGAAGACAAGUCCGACAUGGAACAUGUAAGAGAAUCAUAAAGCUAGAAGAAAAAUAAGAGCGGGGAAGACAGGCAACUUGAGGCAAUAAAAAGCGAAAGGAAGAAACUGGAAAACAAGAUUUUGGCCAAUUUACGAUAGUUCCUGAAUACCACGAUCAUGGAAACCAAUCAGAGCUUUCUUAGACGACACCAAUUUUAUGUACUCUACCCCAAUUACCCUGUAAACCACUAUAAGUGUUCAAAAUUCCAAUAUUUUGUUUUUUAAAACAACUCCCUGAACAAGACAGAAAUCCUUUGAUAAGCUACCUGAAUUUUCUCUAGAAAAAUGUUCACAAAAUACAGGGACUCAAGAGAUUUACAAGAUCUGGUCCUUUUCCUGCAUGAUUCUUUAAACUACUUGUGAAUGAACUCAUAUGCAACCUGAAAAGUUAACAUGAAAGUCCUUUUCAAGGUAUCUUGCUUUACGAUCUGGCCCAGUUUGGAGGUAUUAGCAGGGCCUCAGGGAAACAAACCAUGAUUUCGUUUCACUGACCCAGUCUCUGUUUUUCCCUUUGUAACCCAAUUAAUUAUUAACAACUUGCAUACUUACUCUCCAGUGGGUCUUCCUUGACUGAUGAUCUUCCUAUUUAAUUUCACUUUUACUGCCUUCAAUUAUGUUAUUUUUGGUUCCUUGCAUUUCAUUUUGAUAUACCAAUAUGCUAUGUGAGUAAGCUCUGUGUGAAAGAUAGAAAACAAAAUGAAACAUCAUUAAGAGCUAUCUUAAUAGCAAGAGUCCAGUUAAACUGGUUCCAGAUCACUGCUUAGAAAAAUUGUAGCUUUUUGUGGGACUGAAGCCAGGAAGUAACUGCUUACAUUCUUAGUUUCUUUCUUGCAAAAGGAAGAAAGGGGAUACUUGGAUUGAAAGCACACCAAAGAUGGAGAGAUUGAUGCAUACACCACAUUUACUUAAAGGAAUCUUGCUUUAUAGUUUUCAGCCACAGGAUAAAGCAGCUGUCCUCCAAAGUGUUUGGUUUCAG